UGAGGGAAUAUUGGGUCAAUGGACGGAAGUCUGAACCAGCCAAGUAGCGUGCAGGAUGACGGCCCUCCGGGUUGUAAACUGCUUUUAGUUGGGAAUAAAGUGCGGGACGCGUCCCGUUUUGUAUGUACCAUCAGAAUAAGGACCGGCUAAUUCCGUGCCAGCAGCCGCGGUAAUACGGAAGGUCCGGGCGUUAUCCGGAUUUAUUGGGUUUAAAGGGAGCGUAGGCCGGAGAUUAAGCGUGUUGUGAAAUGUAGUGGCUCAACCUCUGUACUGCAGCGCGAACUGGUCUUCUUGAGUACGCACAACGUGGGCGGAAUUCGUGGUGUAGCGGUGAAAUGCUUAGAUAUCACGAAGAACUCCGAUUGCGAAGGCAGCCUGCUGUAGCGUAACUGACGCUGAAGCUCGAAAGCGUGGGUAUCGAACAGGAUUAGAUACCCUGGUAGU
rnacentral:rRNA from 1 species